AAUGGACGAAAGUCUGACGCAGCGACGCCGCGUGGGUGACGAAGGCCUUCGGGUUGUAAAGCCCUGUGGGGCGAGACGAACAGCUUCUGGUCGAACAGGCCAGGGGUUUGACGGUAUCGCCUUAGCAAGCACCGGCUAACUCUGUGCCAGCAGCCGCGGUAAUACAGAGGGUGCAAACGUUGCUCGGAAUUACUGGGCGUAAAGCGCGUGUAGGCGGUUUUAUAAGUCCGACGUGAAAGCCCGGGGCUCAACCCCGGAAGUGCGCUGGAUACUGUGAAGCUGGAGUCCUGAAGAGGAGAGCGGAAUUCCCGGUGUAGAGGUGAAAUUCGUAGAUAUCGGGAGGAACACCUGUGGCGAAGGCGGCUCUCUGGGCAGGUACUGACGCUGAGACGCGAAAGCGUGGGGAGCAAA
rnacentral:rRNA from 1 species